rnacentral:rRNA from 1 species
GAUGAACGCUGGCGGCGUGCCUAAUACAUGCAAGUCGAGCGAACAGACGAGGAGCUUGCUCCUCUGACGUUAGCGGCGGACGGGUGAGUAACACGUGGAUAACCUACCUAUAAGACUGGGAUAACUUCGGGAAACCGGAGCUAAUACCGGAUAAUAUAUUGAACCGCAUGGUUCAAUAGUGAAAGACGGUUUUGCUGUCACUUAUAGAUGGAUCCGCGCCGCAUUAGCUAGUUGGUAAGGUAACGGCUUACCAAGGCAACGAUGCGUAGCCGACCUGAGAGGGUGAUCGGCCACACUGGAACUGAGACACGGUCCAGACUCCUACGGGAGGCAGCAGUAGGGAAUCUUCCGCAAUGGGCGAAAGCUUGACGGAGCAACGCCGCGUGAGUGAUGAAGGUCUUCGGAUCGUAAAACUCUGUUAUUAGGGAAGAACAAAUGUGUAAGUAACUAUGCACGUCUUGACGGUAUCUAAUCAGAAAGCCACGGCUAACUACGUG